AUAAUAUAUAUCUAAUCAUAUUUUACAACUGUAGCACUGAGUUCAAAAUGUAAACAAAGCGUUUGUUUACAUUACAGACUUUACAUCCACCUUUAAUUCUGCCUUCGUUCAGAACGGAGUUCACGACGAAUUUUGCCAAGAUAUUCGUUCUGAACGAAGGCACAAGAACGAAGAAGGAAAAAAACAAGAUAAGCGCAAGAUAAGGCGCAAACGGGCAAAAAUUGUAAUGCCUUGGAAUUUUUCACACCAGAGGAGGAAUGAGGGUCUUCCCGAAAUGCAACGCGCGCAAAUCAGUGCGGCUCAUUAUUAUUCAAGCUAUUUAUUC